CAGCAGCCGCGGUAAUACGUAGGGUGCGAGCGCUAAUCGGAAUUACUGGGCGUAAAGCGUGCGCAGGCGGUUUUGUAAGACAGGCGUGAAAUCCCCGGGCUCAACCUGGGAAUGGCGCUUGUGACUGCAAAGCUAGAGUGCGGCAGAGGGGGAUGGAAUUCCGCGUGUAGCAGUGAAAUGCGUAGAUAUGCGGAGGAACACCGAUGGCGAAGGCAAUCCCCUGGGCCUGCACUGACGCUCAUGCACGAAAGCGUGGGGAGCAAACAGGAUUAGAGACCCCUGUAGUCCCUGUCUCUUAUAC
rnacentral:rRNA from 1 species